CGAGCCGACCGGGCGGCCGCGGUACCCGUGGCGCCUUCGGGCGCUCCCGGGGCUGAGGAACGUCCGGGCUCCACAGAGCAGGACGGUGGCUAACGGCCACCCGGGGUGACCCGCGGGACAGUGCCACAGAGAGCAGACCGCCGGCCCGAUGGGGCCGGUAAGGGUGAAAGGGUGGGGUAAGAGCCCACCAGCGCGGCGGGUGACCGUCGCGGCUGGGUAAACCCCGUCCGGAGCAAGACCGCACAGCCGGCGAUUGAGGGCUGCUCGCCCGAGCCGGCGGGUUGGUCGCGCGAGGCCAUCGGCAACGGUGGUCCAAGAUGAAUGGUCGCCACCGCCCAGGGCCGGCAACGGCGGGCGGCAACAGAACCCGGCGUACAGGUCGGCUCGUCCG
rnacentral:RNase_P_RNA from 1 species